rnacentral:rRNA from 1 species
UACGUAGGGUGCGAGCGUUGUCCGGAAUUAUUGGGCGUAAAGAGCGUGUAGGCGGCCAAACAGGUCCGUUGUGAAAACUGGAGGCUCAACCUCCAGACGUCGACGGAAACCGUAUGGCUAGAGUCCGGAAGAGGAGAGUGGAAUUCCUGGUGUAGCGGUGAAAUGCGCAGAUAUCAGGAAGAACACCUAUGGCGAAGGCAGCUCUCUGGGACGGUACUGACGCUGAGACGCGAAAGCGUGGGGAGCGAACAGG